GAUGAACGCUAGCUACAGGCUUAACACAUGCAAGUCGAGGGGUAACGAGAGGAAAGCUUGCUUUCCUUGUCGACGACCGGCGCACGGGUGAGUAACGCGUAUCCAACCUGCCCCCAACUAGGGAAUAACCUUGCGAAAGUAAGACUAAUACUCUAUAAUUUCCUCAGAUGUCAUCUGACGAGGAAUAAAGAUUUAUCGGUUGUGGAUGGGGAUGCGUCUGAUUAGCUUGUUGGCGGGGUAACGGCCCACCAAGGCAACGAUCAGUAGGGGUUCUGAGAGGAAGGUCCCCCGAGUUGGAUCUGGGACACGGUCCAAACUCCUACGGGAGGCAGCAGUGAGGAAUAGUGGUCAAUGGGCGGAAGCCUGAACCAGCCAAGUAGCGUGCAGGAUGACGGCCCUAUGGGUUGUAAACUGCUUUUAUACAGGAAUAAAGUUAGCCACGUGUGGUUAUUUGUAGGUACUGUAUGAAUAAGGACCGGCUAAUUCCGUGCCAGCAGCCGCCGUAA
rnacentral:rRNA from 1 species